ACAAAUUACACAUGAGCCUUUGGUUGACUACUCCAGUAGUGAAGAUGAAGUCCUGUGUUCUAAAGCUACAACAUCUUUUAAACAGACAAGACCUGCAAAUCAUGAUGACUCGAGUGAUCUUUUCAACUCUGAAAAUUCAAGUGCA